rfam:Ovis aries breed Texel chromosome 8, whole genome shotgun sequence.
UGGCUUAGUUAGUAAAGAAUCUGCCUGAAAAGCAGGAGACCAGGGAUCGAUCCCUG